rnacentral:rRNA from 1 species
AGAGUAUGAUACCGGCUCAGGACGAACGCUGGCGGCGUGGAUUAGGCAUGCAAGUCGAACGAGAAUCUUAACUUCGGUUAUGAAGAGAGUGGCGAAAGGGUGAGUAACGCGUAGGUAAUUUGCCCUUGAGACAGGAAUAACAUCCCGAAAGGGUUGCUAAUACCUGAUAACAUCUAUUAACCCUCGGGUUUUUGGAUCAAAUGAAGGCUCUGCUUUCGCUCAAGGAGAAACCUGCGUCCUAUUAGCUUGUUGGUGGGGUAAUGGCCUACCAAGGCGAUGAUGGGUAGCUGGUCUGAGAGGAUGGUCAGCCACAUUGGGACUGAGACACUGCCCAAACUCCUACGGGAGGCUGCAGUCGAGAAUAUUUCGCAAUGGGGGAAACCCUGACGAUGCGACGCCGCGUGGGGGAUGAAGGUCUUCGGAUUGUAAACUCCUGUUCUACAAGAAGAAUAGGCAGUUAGUGAUAAGCUAACUGCAUUGACUGUAUUGUAGCAGCAAGCCCCAGCUAACUACGUGCCAGCAGCUGCGGUAAUACGUAGGGGGCAAGCGUUGUCCGGAAUUACUGGGCGUAAAGCGCACGCAGGCGGCCAUAUAAGUCGGGUAUGAAAUUGCUUGGCUUAACCAAGCAACUGUAUUCGAUACUGUGUGGCUUGAGUACGAGAGGGGAAAGUGGAAUGUACAGUGUAGCGGUGAAAUGCGUAGAGAUUGUACAGAACACCGGUAGCGAAGGCAGCUUUCUGGCUCGAUACUGACGCUGAGGUGCGAAAGUCUGGGUAGCGAACGGGAUUAGAUACCCCGGUAGUCCAGACCGUAAACGAUGGGUACUAAGUGUAGGGGAUACGACUCUUCUGUGCUGUAGCUAACGCAUUAAGUACCCCGCCUGGGGAGUACGGCCGCAAGGUUAAAACUCAAGGUAAUUGACGGGGGGCCGCACAAGCGGUGGAGCAUGUCGCUUAAUUCGAAGCAACGCGAA